GACGAACCGUGCGAACGUUGUUCGGAAUCACUGGGCUUAAAGGGCGCGUAGGCGGAUCAGCAAGUCCGGGUUGAAAUCCUUCGGCUUAACCGAAGAACUGGCUUGGAUACUGUUGAUCUCGAGGGAGGCAGGGGCAGUUGGAACUUCCGGUGGAGCGGUGAAAUGCGUUGAUAUCGGAAGGAACGCCGGUGGCGAAAGCGAACUGCUGGACCUCUACUGACGCUGAGGCGCGAAAGCCAGGGGAGCAAACGGG
rnacentral:rRNA from 1 species